CAUAAGAUGGGGAGAUGGGAACACAGCCCAAAAUGAGAGUAUACGGUAAAGGCUGAGCAGUGGGGCAUCAUACUAGAUUCAAAUCCUGACCGCACAGAUUUAACAGGAGGACACCAGAGAGCCCAGAGGAAACACGGCUAGAACAUGCAAACUAAACGGAGCCGAGAUGAGAUUUGAACACCCAACCCUGAAGAGGCAGAGGCUGGUGCUGAUCAAAUCAUGACAAUGCUAUUAAAGAAGUCCCGAGUCCUGUCAACAUCAAGGUUAACCAUGACCUUCUGCAUCGCGUCGGAAUCUCCAAUCCUGAUGAUGCCGGACAGCUCAGGCGGGUAUAAAAUGAAGUCUGGAGAUUUUAAUAAGAGGUGAGUCACUGGUCUUAUUUUUAAAUUUCCUUUCAAAUGUCAUUUCCACUCAUGUCAGAGAGAUGUGAUUUGAAG